CCUACGGGCGGCUGCAGUGGGGAAUAUUGGACAAUGGGGGGAACCCUGAUCCAGCCAUGCCGCGUGUGUGAAGAAGGCCCUCGGGUUGUAAAGCACUUUCAGUGAGGAAGAACGCCUGGUGGUUAAUACCCAUCAGGAAAGACAUCACUCACAGAAGAAGCACCGGCUAACUCCGUGCCAGCAGCCGCGGUAAUACGGAGGGUGCGAGCGUUAAUCGGAAUUACUGGGCGUAAAGCGCGCGUAGGUGGCUUGAUAAGCCGGUUGUGAAAGCCCCGGGCUCAACCUGGGAACGGCAUCCGGAACUGUCAAGCUAGAGUGCAGGAGAGGAAGGUAGAAUUCCCGGUGUAGCGGUGAAAUGCGUAGAGAACGGGAGGAAUACCAGUGGCGAAGGCGGCCUUCUGGACUGACACUGACACUGAGGUGCGAAAGCGUGGGUAGCAAACAGGAUUAGAUACCCCGGUAGUC
rnacentral:rRNA from 1 species